rnacentral:rRNA from 1 species
UACGUAGGGGGCUAGCGUUGUCCGGAAUCAUUGGGCGUAAAGCGCGUGUAGGCGGCCCGGUAAGUCCGCUGUGAAAGUCCAGGGCUCAACCCUGGGAUGCCGGUGGAUACUGUCGGGCUCGAGUCCGGAAGAGGCGAGUGGAAUUCCUGGUGUAGCGGUGAAAUGCGCAGAUAUCAGGAGGAACACCAAUGGCGAAGGCAGCUCGCUGGGACGUGACUGACGCUGAGACGCGAAGCGUGGGGAGCAAACAGG